rnacentral:rRNA from 1 species
UACGAAGGGGGCUAGCGUUGUUCGGAAUUACUGGGCGUAAAGCGCGUGUAGGCGGGCCUUUAAGUCAGGGGUGAAAUGCCAGGGCUCAACCUUGGAACUGCCUUUGAUACUGGAGACCUUGAGUCCGGGAGAGGUGAGUGGAAUUGCGAGUGUAGAGGUGAAAUUCGUAGAUAUCGGGAGGAACACCGGUGGCGAAGGCGGCGAUCUGGGUAGAUACUGACGCUGAGGUGCGAAAGCGUGGGGAGCAAACAGG